UGCAGUAUUUUGACUGUACAAAGGUAGCAUAAUCAUUAGUCUUUUAAUUGAAGACUUGUAUGAAUGAUUGGAUGAAAUAUAAACUGUCUCUAAUAUUAUUAGUUAGAAUUUAAUUUUUUUAUUAAAAAGUAAAAAUAAAUUUAAAAGACGAGAAGACCCUAUAGAGUUUUAUAAUUAAUUUAAUUGAAAUUAUUUAUAAAGAUAAUUUUAAAUUAAUAAAUUAAAAUUAAGUUAAUUAUUUUGUUGGGGUGAUAAAAAAAUAAAAAUAACUUUUUUUAAUAAAUAUAUAUAUAUAUAUAUAUAUAUAUAUAUAUAUUGUAAACAAAAAUAAAUGAUUUUUUGAUCCAGAAUUUUUGAUUAUAAGAAAAAAUUACCUUAGGGAUAACAGCGUAAUUUUUUUUUUUAGUUCAAAUAAGAAAAAGAGUUUGCGACCUCGAUGUUGGAUUAAGGAAAAAUUUAAAUGCAAAAGUUUAAAAUUUUG
rnacentral:rRNA from 1 species